ACACACACACACACACACACACACACACACACACACACACACACACACACACACACAGCUAAUUUCCUGCAGUGGCAACUAGCGUAUAUCAUAACUUGGUGCUUGAUCAUAGAUGCUUUAGUUCAGAUGUAACAAGAUAUAUCAAUAUCUUUGGUAAGCAGUUUCCUACUCGAGUAUUUGCCUACCGUCUCAGAUAUAUUGUUGAUUUGAUUUAAGGCCAUUUAGAGGUUACAGCUAAUAUCACACAAACAGAUAAAAAAACAAACUGAACCAUACAGGCUUUCCCGCUGACUGAGGACGUGGAAGUCUUUUAAAAUGUACUUUCAUAAUUACUAUGAUUUACAUCACUUACAGUGAUUUUUCUUCUGACAUGCUCACUAAAAAAACACACAAAGCAAUCCAAGAAUGAUGCAGUCUCAUUGGCUGAUUAAGUUGCUCAUGCCAGCUGCAGCCAGUAUAGGGGCUUUCACAUAUAUGUCACAAAAUCAUAUUUUAAUAAUAAUAAUAAUAAUAAUAAUAAUAAUAAUAAUAAUAAAUUCAUGUUUCAAUAGUGUUAUUGUAUUGCUGUGUCUAGCACAAAGGUUAUCCGCUUGAAACUUACUGAUGUAGUGUUAAUUUAUAACUGCUCAGAUCUGAGGGUUUUAAUAAUAAUAUGUGGCAUUUUAUUACAGAUGCCACAGUGAGACAGUAACUUUAUAAAUUUAUGUGAAUACACUAAAUACAAUAUAUGAGUUAGCAAUGAUAAUAAUAAUAAUAAUAAUAAGAAGAAAAACAAGAUAUGACAUUGCUUUCCCUCUCAGUUGUUUACUUCAUCUAUUCAUUUAAUGUAGAUGAUUCGGACUCCACCUGAAGUCUGAUCUUUGUGUGGUCAGGUUUCAUUGCUGAUCCGUCAGGAGCUGGUUGAACGUGCUAAAAACUUCAACAUCAUUCUCAAUGAUGUGGCCCUCACAGAGCUGAGCUUCAGCAGAGAAUACACAGCAGCUGUAGAUGCCAAACAUGAAAAAAUCUAUGCAUAACUGCAGCUUUGUAUCAGCACAUUUAAUAAGAGAUGCAGUAUAAUAGCUUACAUUUAGAUUGAAGAUUUAGAUGGUGUCCUCUAGCCCAGCAGGAGUCACAGAGAGCUCAUUUCUUUGUGGAAAAAGCUAAGCAGGAUAAGAGGCAGAAGAUCAUCCAAGCUGAAGGAGAGGCCCAAGCAGCCAAAAUGUUAAGAGAUUCACAAAGAAUCCUGGAUAUCUCAAACUCAGGAGAAUCUGAGCAGCACAGUCGGUCGCUAAAACGAUUGCAUCCUCCCAGAACAGAAUAUAUCUGAAUGCAGACUCUCUAGUCCUGAAUCUCAAGGAUGAGUCAUUUAAUAAAUUGUCACUAAAUAAAAACAAGCAUGCUGCCAAGAGAACGGUUUCGUUCUGCCUCUGUGUGUUAGCGAUCGCGGGAUAAAAGCAGACCCAAAUGCAGUUAUAACAGAAAAGGGGUUUAUUAGAGAAAAAAUAACAAAGGGCAAGAAACACUAUACUCAGUCUGGAAACACAAAACACAGGAACAACAAACAGACAGCCAACCAAAGACAAGGACUCAGCAAAAAACAGACACAAGACAACAUGUAUAAAUAGGGGUGACAAUAAUUGAAACACAAGGAACAGGUGUGAAAGGGUGGGGAUAACACGCGUGAUACAAAAACAAACAGAAGCACAUGGCACAGACCCAAAAGCAACAAUGUCCCCCUAGAGUCCCUGACAGUGGUUCAAGUUUCUGUGGACUUUACUGAAAUCCUUUACACACAUCCUUGUCAGUACAGAUACAAGAAGAUUUGUUCAAUGAAGUUCUCUCAUGGUUAUUCAGCUGUAUAUUGCAGUUACUGUAUACUGUAUGCAACAGAGAGAUCUGUUAUUCUGAAUAUCUGUAAAUUUUAAUUCUCCUCACCCCUCUAUCCAUUGGCUGGUUGUUGCCAUCAGUGUAUUAUAGUAAUGUUACUAUGAUCUAAAUCCACCAAUGUUCUGGAAAAAAAACAAAAAAACAAUGUCUUUGCUGUAUAAAUGUGCGAAUAAGAUAUGAACGGACAGCAAAAUAAAACCUUUUGUGCUCAGAA